GGGACCUAGAACGGGCCUAGCUCAGAGCAGGUGCUCACUAUUGAUGGAAUGCAUGUUGAAAGAAUGCAUGAAUCUCAUCUCCUUUUGUGGGUGAAAAUCUCAUCCUAUUCUCACUCCUGAUUAACUUUCUUUCUUUUUUUUUUUUCAAAACGGAGCCCUGAUCUGUCACCCAGGCUGGAGUGCAAUGGUGCCAUCUCAGCUCGCUGCAACCUCUGCCUUCUGGAUUAAAGCAAUUCUCCUGCCUCAGCCUCCCGGGUAGCUGGGAUUACAGGUGCACACCACCACGCCCGGCUAAUUUUUUGUAUUUUUAAUAGAGACAGGGUUUUGCCAUGUUGGCCAGGCUGGUCUCAAACCCCUGACCCUGUGAUCUGCCCGAUUUGGCCUCCCAAAGUCCUGGGAUUACAAACAUGAGCCACCGUACCCAGCCACUCUUGAUUAACUUAAUGGAAAUAUUUAGAGAUUCUUUCUUUUCUGGGUUCUAGAGUCUUCUCUGUAACCUCUGCAGGGGAGUCCUUGAGCAGAAGGAAGCAAGUUGCCUGAGAUUCUUCAAAGCCCGCAGCCCUUUUGGAGGUAGAAGUUGCUGGUCCCAUCUUGCUCACAAUCCUCCAAAGUUUGAAAGUUAUUUUCCAGGAGACUUGGCUUGCACUGAGAGCUGCCCUCCCACCCUCUCUCCAAAUUUCCUCUUGGGGGUAGCCUAACAAGGUGCUGUCACAGACCCUUGUCGGCCACGAUGACCCCACCCAGACCAUCCCUCUGCUGUUUCACUCUUUGAUAGUCUCUGGAGCUCUCUGGGGAGGGGU
rnacentral:lncRNA from 10 species